AACGCGGUCUAGGCGGCCGCCUAGGCGCUAGGCGGCGGUGCUCCACCACAAUUAACUAGAAAUCGUUCACUAAAUCGGCAAGGACAUUAAGCGAUGUAAGACGGCCGCCUGGGCGGGCUAGGCGAGCUCGACGGACGCUAGGUGGUCUGCGCAGCCUGGAAAAGAAACUUUAUUCGCAAGACUCACAACCUUCUUGUCUCCUCGAGUCUCGCCGUCUAUCUCUCUAUUUGCUAGAAGAAAGUCGAAUAUCUGUGGUGGUGCAAGUUGGAUAUGAGACUCAAAGUUAUGUAAUUUACAUGGAAACGUCUCAUUGCAUGGAGAAGGAGGAAGAGAGGAUUCAAAUUCAAUGGUGGCAUGUGCAGGACAAUCACAUCGUCUUGGAUUCAUCGCUUUGCGGUCUCCACUUCCAGAAAAGACAUCUCUGGUUUUCAAUUCAAUGGUGGUUAACGGGUGAAACGGGUUGAAACAGAUGAUCCGUUAGCUUAACGAGUUGGAUUCGGGUGACUUGUUAAGUUUAACGGAUUGAGUUCGGAUGACCCGUUAGCUUAAUGAGUCGGGUUAAAUCCGAUCCAAACUCAAUAAACCCGAUCCGUUUACAAGUCAAGUUGUAAUCAUGAAAACCACCCCACUUGCGUGAGCUUUUGAUAUUUUUAAAAGUUAUAUAUUAUAAAGGGUCAGAUGGUUUUAUCAUGAAAACCACCCACUUGUGUGGGUUUUUAUAU